rnacentral:ncRNA from 22 species
UAGGGUCGGUCCGCCGACGGUUCGUGUCAUCCCGGGAACGGGGCGUCACGAGGUAAGAGGGAACCCGGUGGGAAUCCGGGACUGCCCCGCAGCGGUGAACGGGAACGACCGCCGUCAACAGCACUGGAAGUGAUCCCGGGAAGCGACGGCCAGUAGGUGUGAGCAGUGCGCCCGUGAGUCCGAAGACCUGCCGCCGGUGCGUGCGCCGUC